UAUAUAUGGGAAUAUAUCUUUCAAAUAUCUCAUCCUACUCAACUUUUAAAUACCCCAUUCUAUUCCACUAAAGUGGUGUUUAAUAGCAACAUUGGAUUGUUAUAGCAAUAGUAAUGAGAGUGUAAUGUACUAGGAAUGUCAAUCUGGGCUAUUUUCGCGGGCCGGGCCGGGCCCCCGGCCCGACGGGCCGACUGUGGCCCGAAUGAUUCGGGCUAGCAAAGUGGUAUAUAUUAUUUCGGGUCGGGCCCGGCCCGGCCCGGUUUCAAAUAUUAAAAAAAAACUUAAAUCCCUAAAAAAAAAUCUCAAAUUCUAAACCUAAAUCUCACCACUUCUUUCUCAGACUCUGCACUCCGUGGCUCCUUCAUCUCCAGCCCCGCCGCCGACGACUCUGUCUCCCUCACCUCUGCCACCCAAGACCCAAUCUCAAAUAUUAAGUAGUUAUUAUUUAUUAAAAUAAACAAAUAAAUUAGAGAGAGAGAGAGAGAAAGAGAAAGUGGGUGUGACUGAAACUCCAAGGAAACAAAUUCACUUUCCUCAAUUCGAAGAAGAAAGAUAGACGGCUUAGGCAGUCCUCUAAGUCUCACAGUCACAGUACUUAAAAGUAAGCUGUUUACAUAAUUUGACCAACUUGCUCCGAGGCCCCAAAUGUACCCUUCUACUACAUUAAAACUUUAAUAAUUAAGCUUGUUUUUCAUCAGAUUAAAAAAAAAACAAGUGUGUUUUGAAGAAAGAAAAAUAAAAUAUAUUAAAAGGGAAAGAAAGUAGAAUAGAAUGUCAAAAUUUAUUUCUUUCAUAUUUAUAUUGUAAUUUUAUUAUAUUUUCUUAUUAUUUAAUAUAUAUUUUUUUUAUAUAUACUAAUAAUAUUUGGCUCGCCUCACUUAGUGCCGGAUCUAUACCUGGGUGCCACUAAUGGUGACAAUGGAAGGAGAUGACCUACCAUACAUAAAAGUACAUAAUUACUAUUUUUCUAAAAAGGAUCAAAUAAAUAAUCAUGAUAUUUUAUUUGCUAUUGCUAUAGAUGUGUUUUUAUUCAAACUACUACUACUCCUUAAAAUGUCCAAUGAAAAAGAGCCUGAACCGACAUGUCUUUAGAUUUAAAAAAAAAAAAGGAAGAAAAAGAAAAUGGCAAAUGCUGUCUAAAUUAUUAUUACACUUGCAUUGCACUAAAUUAAGUCGGUUGUCAUCAUCAUCAUCAUUUUUAAUCGAAAACUCAACUACUCAUCGCCGCAUUAUCAUAUCAAACAUCCACACAAGGCAAUCCCACUUAAUUGGUGUACUCUCAAAUUCCCAUUAAUAUGUACUUAAUUGGUGUACAUACACACGUAGAGAAAUGUUAAAGGUAUCAAUGGUGCCUAACACCUUCAUAUGUGUUAAUAUCGUUAUUAGUUCAAUUAAGCAUUUCUUUCAAAUAACUAGCAAGAGCAAAAUUGAAGUUUUAGUCUCACUCUUCUCAAGAGCCAGCCCAUUGUUCUUUAGGAUUUCUGCAAUUGUUACGACGGUAGCAAUAGC